GCGCACAGUGUGAUAGUUGCAAUAUCAAUUAUGCUCCCCAGCUUCCAAGAAACAGCUGACCACAAGGAUGAAACUUGUGUGGGAGGAAGAGGGAGCAUGCUUGGCAGCUAUCCUCAGACGCAGGAGUCGCUGCCACAGGAAGACAGAGAGAAGAACAUGAGUAAAUGCUUCAGAGACAAAAAACCUCCAUGCUCCAGCAGUUCCAGGUCAUCUCAUUUUGCAUGAAGAUUUAUCAGAUUAAAAACUACACCAAACAACAGAUGAAAUCAAUCUCUGAAAAUGGCAUCUUGCGGACGAUGUUUGUUUCAU